GAUGAACGCUGGCGGCGUGCUUAACACAUGCAAGUCGAACGGAACUACUCCAAUGAGAGUCUUCGGAAAGGAUUUGGUUUAGUUUAGUGGCGGACGGGUGAGUAACGCGUGGGUAACCUGCCCUAUACAGGGGGAUAACAGUUGGAAACGACUGUUAAUACCGCAUAAGCGCACAGGAGCGCAUGCUCCGGUGUGAAAAACUCCGGUGGUAUAGGAUGGACCCGCGUCUGAUUAGCUGGUUGGCGGGGUAACGGCCCACCAAGGCGACGAUCAGUAGCCGGCCAGAGAGGGUGAACGGCCACAUUGGGACUGAGACACGGCCCAAACUCCUACGGGAGGCGGCAGUGGGGAAUAUUGCACAAUGGGGGAAACCCUGAUGCAGCGACGCCGCGUGAGCGAAGAAGUAUCUCGGUAUGUAAAACUCUAUCAGCAGGGAAGAAAAUGACGGUACCUGACUAAGAAGCCCCGGCUAACUACGUG
rnacentral:rRNA from 1 species